AGAGUUUGAUCCUGGCUCAGGAUGAACGCUGGCGGCGUGCCUAAUACAUGCAAGUCGAACGAGGUGCUCUUGUAGCAAUACGAGGGUAUCCUAGUGGCGAACGGGUGAGUAACGCGUUGGUGACCUGCCCCAAAGUGUGGGAUAACAGUCCGAAAGGAUUGCUAAUACCGCAUGUGGUCCUCGGAUUUAGAAACCGAUGACUAAAGCCGCAAGGCGCUUUGGGAGGGACCUGCGUCCCAUCAGCUAGUUGGUGAGGUAACGGCCCACCAAGGCUACGACGGGUAGGGGACCUGAGAGGGUGGCCCCCCACAAUGGAACUGAAACACGGUCCAUACACCUACGGGUGGCAGCAGUAGGGAAUAUUGCACAAUGGGCGAAAGCCUGAUGCAGCAACGCCGCGUGAGCGAUGAAGGCCUUCGGGUCGUAAAGCUCUUUUCUGGGAGAUGAGAAAGGACAGUAUCCCAGGAAUAAGUCUCGGCUAACUACGUGCCAGCAGCCGCGGUAACACGUAGGAGGCGAGCGUUAUCCGGAUUCACUGGGCGUAAAGCGCGUGCAGGCGGUUCGGUAAGUUAGGCGUGAAAUCUCCCGGCUCAACUGGGAGAGGUCGUCUAAUACUACCGAACUUGAGAGCGAUAGAGGAAAAUGGAAUUCCCGGUGUAGUGGUGAAAUGCGUAGAUAUCGGGAGGAACACCAGUGGCGAAAGCGAUUUUCUGGAUCGUUUCUGACGCUCAGACGCGAAAGCUAGGGUAGCAAACGGGAUUAGAGACCCCGGUAGUCCUAGCUGUAAACGAUGUGAACUUGGCGUUGGUGGCUUAAACUCCAUCAGUGCCGAAGCUAACGCGAUAAGUUCACCGCCUGGGGACUACGGCCGCAAGGUUAAAACUUAAAGGAAUUGACGG
rnacentral:rRNA from 1 species